GAGCAGCUUGUGCUUCACUGCCCCAUGGAUGGCUGGGUGCAGAGCUACUGAGGAGAUGGAGAGGAGCACCUGCUGACAAAGCCAUGGCAGUCAGACACAAGCUGGAGCUAGCUGGGCUCUUGCAGCCAGAUGAUUGCCAGACUUGCCCUCCUCAAGAGACUAAAUUGCAUGGCAGAAGAAAGCUGGGAAAAUGCUUCUUCCUCACAAUUUUUCACUUGUUGAUACUUUUUGCAGGGUUCCUGUCCAAAAGGAGAUUUUGGGGAUCAAGGCAGUCUUAGGAAGAGUGAAGCCAGCUCUUUCCAAGGGCAGGGGAAGUUCCCGUGGAGAGAGACCUCGGAACUUCAGCUUCCUCUGACACUUCAGCGGUCAUGUCUUAGCAAGGAGACAACUGAUAUUCCUAUUUCUGCUCUGUGAGUGGAAAGAAGUGGCACGGGGCGGUUCCCUGCGUUUGGGAGCAGCAGCAGGCUGCCAGAGAUCCAACUGCGCCUUGCAGCGCACAGAGGGACACGACGAGGACGGACGGUCCUUCCUGCCAUGCCAAAAGCUGAUGCAAGUGGCCUUCCAGCAAAGUGCAGCCUUGCAGAAAGCCGGGGCAGAAGCACAGUGUGACGUUGCACCAAAGAGAGUUACAGACACACAACAAGCAUCUGGGUUUGGUGCACUGUCUUUCUAGUGAUGACCAGCUUGGAUGUGCCAGAUGACAUCAUGGACGUUCAGAGUCUGCUUUCUUAGAUCAAUGAUAUGGCAAGAGCUGUCGAGAUCCCCCAUGAGAACCCCAGCAUCCCUGCCCCAGAAUGCUUCAUCGCUGAGCUCCCUGACAACCGCAGGGACAGCAGAGAGCUCAGCAUGGAGGCACAGGCUGCCACCGGGACCCCCACUGACCCCUUCUGGUGGCUUCCACCAUCCCCUGGGCUCCUGUCUGAGCUGCAGUGUGGAUUGUCAUGGCUGUGCCCUGUUGUGCCACCAGUGAGUGCCUGGCUCAGUCCACUGCCAACAACCCUGGCUGUCACCACACCUCCCUCAGCCCAAACCACACAGCCCAUUGAGGAGGUGCAGAAAAGGCAGCCCCAGGGAGUUCAGGCCCACUCACCACUGUCACUGGGCUCUGUCCCGUGCCAGGUGGCAGAAAAGAAAAACGGGCAGCACCAAGCAGGACAAGCACCCUGCGCCUGCUGGCACCCCCCCAAGAAAGGGGAGAAUUCCCAGCAGGAGCAGCCCAGCAGCAGCACCCUAGCCAAGAAAAGGAAGCUGCCACCAUUCAAGGAAAGGAAAGAAAAGGCUGUAAACACCUGUGCCAAGAGAAGCUGGUUUGGGCCAGCACAGGAGCCAGCAGCAGCAGCCAAAUGGGCACUGCCAGCGAGCUGCACAUGCGCUUUUGUGAAUCCAUCCAGGCUGUGCACCUGCUGGGGCAGAGGGUGACUGCAGUGUGGCCGGUGCACCAGCCCCAGCCUACACCCAGCAAUGGCCUGCUGCCUCCUGGCCCCAAGCCAGCAGCACAGACAAGGGAGGGCUGGCACCUCCAGGCAGCACGGCGUGAAAUGAGGACGCUGCCAAGAAGACGGUGCCGAGCUGCCUGCACACAUCCCUGCUGAGGAGCUCACCACUGCGAAGGGACCCACUGUCACAGCUGUACCAGCAGCAGCCUUGGCCACAGCACCCCGUGCACUUUGUGCCCUGUGUGGGGCCCCAGGUGGGUGGCGAUGCGGCACCCACAGUGCUGGAGCAGUCGCUGCCCAUCACAGCUGAGCAGCAGCCCAAGCAUGAAGAAGCUGGCCCAGGAGGAGUGGCAGCAGGCAGCCCACCGGAUGAAGAUCGGCCCCAUGCAGUUCCUGGUGCAGCGGGAGAUAGACAUGGCCAUAGCUGACAAGUUACAGAGUUCCUCUAUGCUAUGUGCCAGUGCAAUACCUCUGAACAAUUUUGAUGGGUUCAGCAAAGCUCAGAGUGACAGACUUUGGUCAUCCUCAGGUCGACAUGAUGAGAGAGAGAGAAAGAAAAAUGUACAAGAUGGAUUUGCCAUCGUGUUUCUUACAAGGACUAACAGUGGGAUUAAAUGUGCCCUGAAGAGGAUGUGCUUGCAAGUAGGCAAAAGAGAAAUGCAAAUUGUGUGAAUCUUCUGGGCAUGAUUUAUCAUCACCGUAGCUAACCUGCAUGGGAAAAGUUGGCAUUAGAUCUUACACCCAAACUUUUAACAAAGCUUUGACUUGCCAGAGUUUCCAUUGUCUCCACUUGUCUGGCACCUCCCUGAAAUGUAUGCCUGAUCUGGAAGUCUGUUCUUAUUUCCUAGCUUUUGUGCAAUAAAGAAGCGUUGGAAACGUUG